rnacentral:misc_RNA from 1 species
ACGUCAUCCCCACCUCCAGGAACAGAACUGCGUCAACACCCAACAUAAGGUCCCCAACCUCCUGGGGAGUGAGCUUCUCUAUGGACUGCAUUUCCAAUGGAGGCACUGAGGGGACCUCCUGAUCGGUAUUUUCCAUCGUCUGAUGCAUGAAACGGUCCCCAAGAAACCAAGCUCUGCCGGCCAGUCCCUCAAACAGAACCCUAUAUCGGGAGGGGGCCCAUGCCCCAGGGAACUGAAAUCGUGGAGACCCGGGUAUCUAAUCCUGUU